UGCCAGCAGCCGCGGUAAUACGGAGGGUGCGAGCGUUAAUCGGAAUUAUUGGGCGUAAAGGGUGCGCAGGCGGCAUAAUAAGUCGGGCGUGAAAGCCCCGAGCUUAACUCGGGAACUGCGUUCGAAACUAUUAAGCUAGAGUACGGUAGAGGGAAGUGGAAUUUCCGGUGUAGCGGUGAAAUGCGUAGAUAUCGGAAGGAACAUCAGUGGCGAAGGCGACUUCCUGGACCAGUACUGACGCUCAGGCACGAAAGCGUGGGGAGCAAACAGGAUUAGAUA
rnacentral:rRNA from 1 species